rnacentral:rRNA from 1 species
AGCGCGGACCACCGCGCAAGGCUAAAUACUAGUUGGCGACCGAUAGUGAACAAGUACCGCGAGGGAAAGGUGAAAAGAACCGCUGUGAGCGGAGUGAAAUAGAACCUGAAACCGUAUGUCUACAAAGUGUCAGAGCAGAGCAAUCUGCGAUGGCGUGCCUUUUGUUUAAUGAGUCUGCGAGUCAGUGUUUGUGGCAAGACUAAGGGCUUCCGGCCCGGAGUCGCAGCGAAAGCAAGUCCGAAUAGGGCGAAUUAAGUCGCAGGUACUGGACCCGAAGCGGAGGUGACCUACCCUUGGCCAGGUUGAAGCAUGGGUAAAACCAUGUGGAGGACCGAACAGGUGAACGUUGAAAAGUUCUCUGAUGAGCUGAGGGUAGGAGUGAAAGGCUAAUCAAACCCCGUGAUAGCUGGUUCUCUUCGAAAUGCAUUUAGGUGCAGCGUCACGUGCUGAUGCGCGGGGGUAGAGCACUGACAAGGCUAGGGGGCACACCCGCUUACCAAACCUUAUCAAACUCCGAAUACCGUGCAAUGGAACGUGGCAGUGAGACAGUGGGGGAUAAGCUUCAUUGUCGAGAGGGAAACAACCCAGACCAGCAGCUAAGGUGCCUAAAUAACGCUCAGUGGAAAGGAUGUGGGAUUACACAGACAGUGAGGAUGUUGGCUUAGAAGCAGCCACCAUUUAAAAAAUGCGUAAUAGCUUACUCAUCGAGUGAUCCUGCGCCGAAAAUGAUUGGCGAUCAAGCGUUAUACCGAAGCUCUGGACUUUACCUUACGGUAGAGUGGUAGAAGAGCGUUGCAUGCGCGUUGAAGGGUGAUGGCGACUGACCCUGGAGCACAUGCAAGUGAGUAUGCAGACAUGAGUAACGUAAAGCCGGGUGAAAUCCCCGGCCGCCGUAAACCCGAGGUUUCCAGGGCAACGUGUUUCGUCCCUGGGUUAGCCGGGACCUAAGCCGAGGCCGAGAGGCGUAGGCGAUGGAUAUCAGGUUAAUAAUCCUGAGCUCGCGACCCUUAAACUGGGGGGACGCAUGAGAAAAGAUGACUAGGUUAUUGAAUUCCGAGUUGAGUCCACGGACUCAGCGCAUCAUUGGAUCGAGUGCCAAGAAAAGCCCCAGCGUAUGCUAAGCGACCCGUACCGCAAACCGACACAGGUGGGUGGGUAGAAUAUACCAAGGCGUAAGAGUGAAACCUGGUUAAGGAACUCGGCAAAUUAGCCCCGUAACUUCGGAAGAAGGGGUGCCUGCAGCGAUGCAGGCCGCAGAGAAAUGGCCCAACCGACUGUUUAUCAAAAACACAGCACUCUGCAAAGACGCAAGUCGAAGUAUAGGGUGUGACACGUGACCAAUGCCGAAAGAUUAAGGCAAGGGGUUAGCCGCAAGGCGAAGCUCUGAACCCAAGUCCCGGUGAAUGUCGGCCGUAACUAUAACGGUCCUAAGGUAGCGAAAUUCCUUGUCGGGUAAGUUCCGACCUGCACGAAUCGUGAAACGAGUUGGGCACUGUCUCAACCAGGCGCUCAGUGAAAUUGUAGUGGCGGUGAAGAUGCCGCCUACCCGCAGAAGGACGGAAAGACCCUAUAGACCUUAACUGUAAGCUGUCAUUGUUUCUUCGGUUUUAAUGCUCAGAGUAAGUGGGAGACGCUGAAGACGCCCUUUAGGGGGCGUCGGAGUCAUCAAUGAGACACCACCCUUUGAAACUGGAGGAUCUAACCCUGAGCCGUGAAUCCGGCCAGAGGACCGUGUCAGCCGGUCAGUUUUACUGGGGCGGUAUCCUCCCAAAGAGUAACGGAGGAGCGCGAAGGUGGGCUCAGCCCGGUUGGCAACCGGGUGUCGAGUGCAUGGGCAUAAGCCCGCCUAACUGUGAGACCAACAAGUCGAGCAGAUGCGAAAGCAGGCCCAAGUGAUCCGGCGGUAGAAAGUGGAAUUGCCGUCGCUCAACGGAUAAAAGGUACCUUAGGGAUAACAGGCUGAUCACGCCCAAGAGUUCAUAUCGACGGCGUGGUUUGGCACCUCGAUGUCGGCUCGUCGCAUCCUGGGGCUGGAGAAGGUCCCAAGGGUUCGGCUGUUCGCCGGUUAAAGCGGCACGCGAGCUGGGUUCAGAACGUC